rnacentral:rRNA from 1 species
CGCUGAACUUAAGCAUAUCAAUAAGCGGAGGAAAAGAAACCAACAGGGAUUGCCCCAGUAACGGCGAGUGAAGCGGCAACAGCUCAAAUUUGAAAUCUGGCCCCAGGCCCGAGUUGUAAUUUGCAGAGGAUGCUUUUGGCGCGGUGCCUUCCGAGUUCCCUGGAACGGGACGCCAUAGAGGGUGAGAGCCCCGUACGGUUGGACACCAAGCCUUUGUAAAGCUCCUUCGACGAGUCGAGUAGUUUGGGAAUGCUGCUCUAAAUGGGAGGUACAUUUCUUCUAAAGCUAAAUAUUGGCCAGAGACCGAUAGCGCACAAGUAGAGUGAUCGAAAGAUGAAAAGCACUUUGAAAAGAGGGUUAAACAGCACGUGAAAUUGUUAAAAGGGAAGCGCUUGUGACCAGACUUGCGUCCGGUGAAUCACCCAGCUCUCGCGGCUGGGGCACUUCGCCGGCACAGGCCAGCAUCAGCUUGCCGUCGGGGACAAAAGCCUCAGGAACGUGGCUCCUCUCGGGGAGUGUUAUAGCCUGUUGCAUAAUACCCUUCGGCGGGCUGAGGUACGCGCUCCGCAAGGAUGCUGGCGUAAUGGUCAUCAGCGACCCGUCUUGAAACACGGACCAAGGAGUCAACCUUAUGUGCGAGUGUUUGGGUGUCAAACCCCUACGCGUAAUGAAAGUGAACGCAGGUGAGAGCUUCGGCGCAUCAUCGACCGAUCCUGAUGUUCUCGGAUGGAUUUGAGUAAGAGCAUAUAGGGUUGGACCCGAAAGAAGGUGAACUAUGCGUGUGUAGGGUGAAGCCAGAGGAAACUCUGGUGGAGGCUCGCAGCGGUUCUGACGUGCAAAUCGAUCGUCAAACAUGCGCAUGGGGGCGAAAGACUAAUCGAACCUUCUAGUAGCUGGUUUCCGCCGAAGUUUCCCUCAGGAUAGCAGUGUUGAGCUCAGUUUUAUGAGGUAAAGCGAAUGAUUAGGGACUCGGGGGCUAUUUUUUGCCUUCAUCCAUUCUCAAACUUUAAAUAUGUAAGAAGCCCUUGUUACUUAGUUGAACGUGGGCAUUCGAAUGUAUCAACACUAGUGGGCCAUUUUUGGUAAGCAGAACUGGCGAUGCGGGAUGAACCGAACGCGAGGUUAAGGUGCCAGAGUAGUCGCUCAUCAGACACCA